rnacentral:rRNA from 1 species
UACGUAGGGGGCUAGCGUUAUCCGGAAUUACUGGGCGUAAAGGGUGCGUAGGUGGUUUCUUAAGUCAGAGGUGAAUGGCUACGGCUCAACCGUAGUAAGCCUUUGAAACUGGGGAACUUGAGUGCAGGAGAGGAGAGUGGAAUUCCUAGUGUAGCGGUGAAAUGCGUAGAUAUUAGGAGGAACACCAGUUGCGAAGGCGGCUCUCUGGACUGUAACUAACACUGAGGCACGAAAGCGUGGGGAGCAAACAGG